GGGUGACACUUCGUGGGGGUGGCACAUUGUGGGGGGACAGCCCUGGGUACAGGGUGACACUUGGUGGGGGUGGCACAUUGCGGGGGGUCACACCCCUGGGCACAAGAUGACACUUGGGGUGGCACAUUGGGGGGGUGACACUCCUGUGCAUGGGGUGACAGCUGAUGGGAGUGGUACAUUGUGGGGUGACACCUCUGGGCACAAGGUGACACUUGCAUGGAGGUGGCACUCGGCAGGGAAAAUGCAAUCAGAUUCCAGGGAACAGGACAUCGCUUGCCACCUACAAGACGCUUUGGUGUUGGAGCCAACUCUGCAGUCUGCUUUUAUUACCCUCUCCUGGGACUGUUCCUAGGCAUUUGGCUUCUGCUCACCUUUUUCAUUAUAACAUCAAGAUCUUUGGAAGAUGUGAGAGGUGAAAAAACUUUUUCUCUCUCUUCCGGCUUUUCCACGUUGAGCUUCUCUCCACCUGGUGUCCUGCUCCUCUGUGAAGAAAUGCCAAAUACUGCAGUUUCUUAAAACGUAGUUUAACUGUUCAGAGGGAAAACUCAGAUUUAGAGCCUGUGCAAAGAAUAAACUGUAAAUUCUGGCAUGACCUGAAGCUUUC
rnacentral:lncRNA from 1 species